rnacentral:rRNA from 2 species
GCGGCGCUGCUAUACUGCAGUCGAGCGAUGCGCAUUAAGAGCUUGCUCUUCUGAAGUUAGCGGCGGACGGGUGAAUCACGCGUGGGUCACCUGCCCAUAAGACUGGGAUAACUCCGGGAAACCGGGGCUACUACCGGAUAAUAUUUUGAACCGCAUGGUCGCACUUGAAAGGCGGCUUCGGCUGUCCUUUAUCGAUGGACCCACGUCGCGUUGUCUAGUUGGUGAGGUACCAGCUCACCAAGGCAACGAGGCAUGGCCAACCGCCGAGGUUGAACGGCCACACGGGGACUAAGACACGGCCCAGACUCCUACGGGAGGCUUCAGUAGGGAAUCUUCCUCAAUGGACGAACGUCUCACGGACCAACGCCGCGUGAGUGAUGAAGGCUUCCGGUUCUUAAAACUCUGUUGUUAGGGAAGAACAAGUGCUAUAUUGAAUAAGCUGCGCUCCUUAGACAGUCCCUAGCUCAGAAACCCGCCGGCUAACUACAGUGCCUACGUGCCGUCGGUAAUCCUUGAUGUGGAAUGCUUUUAUCGCGGAAUUAUUCGGCGCGUAGAGCGCGCAACGUCGUGGUUUCAAAGCCUCUGAGGUCAACCCCCGGUGCUCAACCGUGGAGGGUAGUUGGAAUCUGGAAAACGUAAGUGUAAAACACGAAUGUGGAGUUCCAUGUGUAGCGGUGAAGUGCAUACACAUGUGGAGAAACCCCUUUGGCGAAUGCAACUUUCGGGUCUGUAACUAACACUGAGGCGCAAAAGCGUGGGGAGCACACGGGAUUACACACCCUGGAAGUCCACGCUAUAAACUAUGAGUGCUAAGUGCCAGAGGUUUCUCGCCCUCUAGUUCUGAAUUCAACGCUUUAGACACUCCGCCUGGGGAUUACCGCCACAGGGCUGACACGCAGAGAAUUUACGGGGAGAGAAAAAUAGGAAAACAAAAAAAAAAAA